rnacentral:tRNA from 1 species
CAGGGUGUAGCUAUAACUCAAAGCAUUCAGCUUACACCUGAAAGAUAUCUACUAUCCCUAGAUCUCCCUGA